rnacentral:rRNA from 1 species
GACGAACGCUGGCGGCGUGCUUAACACAUGCAAGUCGAACGAAGUGGCGAACGGGUGAGUAAUACGUGGGUAACCUGCCCUUCAGAGGGGGACAACAGUUGGAAACGACUGCUAAUACCGCAUACUGAAGGGGGGGAUUGCGUCUGAUUAGCUAGUUGGAGGGGUAACGGCCCACCAAGGCGAUCAUCAGUAGCCGGGCUUAGAGGAUGGACGGCCAAAUUGGGACUGAGACACCGCCCAGACUCCUACGGGAGGCAGCAGUGGGGAAUCAUCCGCAAUGGACGGAAGUCUGACGGAGCAACGCCGCGUUAGUGAUGACGGCCUUCGGGUUGUAAAGCUCUGUUAAUCGGGACGCGGUACCGGAAUAGAAAGCCACGGCUAACUACGUGCCAGCAGCCGCGGUAAUUC